AUCGCUUCUCAACCUUUUGGCUAAGAUCAAGUGUACUAUCUGUUCUUAUCAGUUUAAUAUCUGAUACAUCCUUCAUCCAAGGACAAUAUAUUAAAUAGAUUUUGGAGCAGAGAGAUGGAAUAGAAGCUUGCUCCAUCCACUCCAUGCAUCGACCUGGUACUGCAGUACCUCCAGGAACAGUGCACCCCCU
ensembl:snRNA U2 U2 spliceosomal RNA